AAUGUUUUCUACAUACUUGCAACUUAAGGAACAUCAAACAAAAGGACUACUUCUUCAGCUGAAUCCUCUGGAAUGGAUGCGCUUCGAUGUAGGCCAAAGCCUUGAGGAUGUAAUCAGGAAUGGGAGGCGGCGUGGGCAGAUGAGCACCAGUAGGACGAUAUCCGUUCUCAUCGGCAGUGUACUCCAGCUGGAUGGGUGUUCCAUCGGGAGCAGCGUAGCUCACGGAUCCGGCAGCUUGGACUCCACCCACUCCACUCUCCUGGGCAUCGAUGCCGUUGGACGUUCCGUAUUCCCAGCUGUAUGAGCCAUCCGGCUUGAUCUCGUUGCGGUACUUGGUGGUCUCGGCCUGAGAUUCGUCUGCAGCCCGGAUGGCGGCCACCAGGAACAGGGAAAUGAUUAGCGCCUUGAUGCCGGAAAAGAUACACCAAUUAGAUGUGCUAUUAUAGCUAUUAUCGCAUCGGACUUACGGUCUUGAUCAUUUUGGUGUUGGAUUUGCUGCAGUUGCUACUGAUUGCUGAUUACUGAUCUCCAAGUUCGGCGACAGAUCGUUUUAUACUCGCAACGAUCACUGACCUACACCUACACCAUCGCCGAACAGGUGACUCUUCGCCAUUCCGAAUUAUUAAUUUAAUUCGCGCAUUUGAAAAUAUGAAUUUGACCGCGUUUUUACGAGCUUAGUAGUUCGCCUAAUAGCUGCUUUGUCAUCUGUUGUUUGUUUUAACUACGGUUUUACGACCCAGGUGCUCUAUAACCCAGGCCAACUUAUGAGUAAAGGCCUCUCCUUAUCUGCGCCUUAGAAAUCACAGAUCAACGAUCUCGAUUUACAGACGCUGCCACACAAUGGCUCUUUUCUUAUCUAAUCUUGACUUAUAUUCAUAAUAAAUAAAUAAAUCGUAAGCCGAAUUUGGAGUUACCAGAAAUAUUUCAGCGAAUAUGACACACUCUUUCUCUUGAGUAAAAUUAAUGUAUAAUAAUACAAAUGUAUAUGAUUUGGGGAGUGAUACAUUUUCUAAAAGAAACAUUU
ensembl:ncRNA asRNA:CR45171 antisense RNA:CR45171